GACGAACGCUGGCGGCGUGCCUAAUACAUGCAAGUCGAGCGCAGGAAACUGACGGAACUCUUCGGAGGGAAGGCAGUGGAAUGAGCGGCGGACGGGUGAGUAACACGUAAGGAACCUGCCUCAAGGAUUGGGAUAACUCCGAGAAAUCGGAGCUAAUACCGGAUAGUUCAACGGACCGCAUGGUCCGCUGAUGAAAGGCGCUCCGGCGUCACCUUGAGAUGGCCUUGCGGUGCAUUAGCUAGUUGGUGGGGUAACGGCCCACCAAGGCGACGAUGCAUGGCCGACCUGAGAGGGUGGUCGGCCACGCUGGGACUGAGACACGGCCCAGACUCCUGCGGGAGGCAGCGGUAGGGAAUCUUCCACAAUGGACGAAAGUCUGAUGGAGCAACGCCGCGUGAGGGAUGGAGGUUUUCGGAUCGUAAAACUCUGUUGUAAGGGAAGAACACGUACGAGAGGGAAUGCUCGUACCUUGACGGUACCUUACGAGAAAGCCACGGCUAACUACGUGCCAGCCGCCGCCGUAA
rnacentral:rRNA from 1 species